UUUCUGUGUACAUUCAUUUCAUUUCUUCUACAGUCGAGAUGAUCUCCAUCCUCAUAAACUUGACUUUCUUUAUAUUCUGGGCUGCAGGUGUUGAAUCACAGACAGUCCUGAUUACUCAAUGGCCUCGAUCCAUAGUCACUCACAAAAACAGCCCAGUAGAAAUGCACUGCUACCAAAAUAACACCGACUACACUUAUGUAUACUGGUACAAACAGAGUGGAAAACAUAUUCAGUUAGUAGUAAUGUUAGUAGGUGACAUUCCAAACUAUGAAGAAGAAUUCAAGUCUGGUUUCAAGGCAGUGAAAUCAGGAAAGCAGUGGUCUGUGAAUAUAACCAGCGCUCAGGAGAAAGAUGGAGCUGUUUAUCUGUGCGCUGCCAUGCUGUGCUCAGGCUCUUAUCCUGCAUACUUUGGAGAAGGAACAAAGCUAACUGUUGUCGAAAGAGAAGUCAAGGAACCAACAGUGAAACUUCUUAAACCUUCACACAAUGAAUGCCGAAACAAGAAAGAUCCAAAUAAGAGGAAGAAGACCUUGGUGUGUCUGGCCACUGAUUUCUACCCAGACCAUGUCAAUGUGUCCUGGGAGGUCAACGGGAACCCUGUCAAAGAGGAAGUGGCGACGGACAACUAUGCCCAGAAGAAAGGAGACUUCUACUCCAUCACCAGCCGGCUGAGGGUCCCAUAUAAAGACUGGCACAAUCCUGACAAUCUGUUCAAAUGCACUGUCAACUUCUUCAAUGGGACUGUAUGGAAUCAUCAUUCUCGUUAUACCCAUGGAGUUAAAGGUAACUCAACAGAAGGGAACGCCAUGACAAGAGAGAAAUAUUUGAAGAUCUCAAACGCUGCCAAGCUGUCGUACGGAGUUUUCAUCAUCAAGAGCUGCCUCUAUGGGGUCUUUGUUGCCUUUAUGGUGUGGAAGCUUCAGGGUUCAGCAGAGAAGCAGAACAACUGAGAGAAGCAGAAGCAGAGACCAAAGAUAUCUGGAAGUCUUCUGAUUAAGGAGGUUCUGUAAAAUAAAGUUAAAACAGAGAUGCUAAAUACAAUCAAUGUGGUGUUAAAACUGUACAAUGAAGGAUAAGAGUCAGAUUCUUAAACCUGUUCAAUUCAUAUUCUUAGUAAACUGCUUAAGCUGUGGUAUGUAUGUAGAGUGUUGUCAUUCAAAUGCUUAAAAAUUCUGCUUGUAAAACAGAUAUUAGUUUCUAUUCUACAAUAAAACUUUUGCACAAUA